rnacentral:lncRNA from 1 species
GUAAAGACCCCUGCAGCCACCGCUGGCCUCCGAUUAAAAAUAAAUCCCUUUCAUGGCCAGACAGUGGUUUGGGAAGGGGAAAUGCUGAACAGCAGUGAAAACUUGGAGAAUUUUUUGGCUGGAUGUCCUGCAAGGCAAGCACAAGCGGCAUUGAUUCGGGUACGGCUCUAUAUCCCUGGCCAUUCACGUGCACGUACAGGUACGCCUUGAGACAAACUCUUGCAGCUGUGGCAUAACCCCGGAUAAUCAAAGCAGCAUCCUUUGGAUGCGGUGUGAAAGUCAGUACUUGUCUGUAAACUGAUGUUGAACGUAAUGGAAUAGGCCAGCAACUCCAAAGCAUUCAGGGCCCGAAGACAAACACAGAUGGGG